rnacentral:rRNA from 1 species
UACGAAGGGGGGCGAGCGUUUGUUCGGAUUUACUGGGCGUAAAGCGUGCGCAGGCGGUUGUGCAAGACCGAUGUGAAAUCCCCGGGCUUAACCUGGGAAUGGCAUUGGUGACUGCACGGCUAGAGUGUGUCAGAGGGGGGGUAGAAUUCCACGUGUAGCAGUGAAAUGCGUAGAGAUGUGGAGGAAUACCGAUGGCGAAGGCAGCCCCCUGGGAUAACACUGACGCUCAUGCACGAAAGCGUGGGGAGCAAACAGG